AGCCACCAGCGAGAUUCGAACUCGCGACACCUGGUUUUCGAGACCAGUGCUCUAACCUCUGAGCUAUGAUGGC
rnacentral:tRNA from 1 species